CGCCCUACUCUCCAGGUCUUCCCUGAGCCUUGGAACCUCCCCCCUCGGUCCUGUCCUGGAGCCUGGCAGGUAUUCGCAUCCAUGAGUCAGGCCUCCUCUCCUACACCUGAGACCAAGAACUCCUGACACCAGCAGUUGGCACGGCUUCAUCUCCAGAGUCAUUUCUUCUUGUCAUCUCCGUCUCCGAGUCCUGGGCUCCAAGCCAGGGCAUUACCCACCACUAGGGCCUCUCCCUCUACCACAAAAGACCAUGGCCGGGUUUAUAGAACGCUCUGCUCCUGAGUACUCCAAGCUCACAGACACAUAUGUAGCUUCUGUUGCACGCAUUGCAGCUCACUCAUGUCCCCUCCCUGGCCUGGGGUUGCCAGGCAGACUUGGGGAGGCAUGCUGACUCAAAGCUGUCCCAAGCAGCCAGGUUCUGCAGAAACAAAGAACGUCAUGCUCAAGUGCUGACCUGCACCAUGACACUCUUCCCAUCCUCUUUCUUCUCCCUCUCUCACGGGGUGGGAGGCCCUCUGCUCUGUGCAGCUAGGUUUAAGUAGUGUGCCUAGGAUGGUUGUGGAAUCUGGUGGGGGAAGCCUUCCAGGGGCAGCGGUGUGGGCCUAGUCCUGCCCGGGUGCCACAUAUACUCUACUCAGAACCUUUGCAAACUCUCCUGAGACCCUGACUGCUCAAAGGGCCUCGGUGGUAGGCUUUCUUUGGAGCCUGAGACCUGAGACCUGUCCUCUAUGGGCAGAGUUCCAGGUAUUGUCCCACCCCCAACCCCUGGCUGCCCCAGUCUCAAGUGUCUGUGCAAAGGUGGGUGUGUGGGAAGGGGCUGGUGACUGUGGGCAGGUGAGAGAGGUCUAGUAUUCCAGCCAGUACUAGUUCUGUUAGAGUCAGUUCCCUUGGCC
rnacentral:lncRNA from 1 species